UACGUAGGGUGCAAGCGUUGUCCGGAAUUAUUGGGCGUAAAGGGCUCGUAGGUGGCCAACUAAGUCAGACGUGAAAUCCCUCGGCUUAACCGGGGAACUGCGUCUGAUACUGGAUGGCUUGAGUUCGGGAGAGGGAUGCGGAAUUCCAGGUGUAGCGGUGAAAUGCGUAGAUAUCUGGAGGAACACCGGUGGCGAAGGCGGCAUCCUGGACCGACACUGACACUGAGGAGCGAAAGCCAGGGGAGCAAACAGG
rnacentral:rRNA from 1 species